CAUUCCAGUGGUAUUGGUGUUGCCUUAGCAAGUAAGCAUGGAAUCAGCUCUACUACUGAUAUGCCUUUAGCAGGACUAGUUAAAUAGGAACCCAGUCCAGCUUUUCCCCUGUCACUUUGCUGAAACUGCUUCUGUAAUGACUUCUUCCUAACCAGAUCUUUGGAACUAGUAUUUCUUCUCCAUCAUCUUUGACUAGUCAGUUGCUUUUGAAACAUUUAACUAUGCUCUUACUGAAAUCUGGUGCUCCCUUGCCUUCCACAAUUCUCUCCUUUUCCAGUUCUCUUCCUACCUUCUUGUUUUGUCAACCUGUCCUUCAGGAGUUCCUCUUUAUAUCCCUUCCAGGUUUUGUGGGGGUUUCACAGGGCUCUUUCCUUGAUUGCCAUCUCUUUCUCAUCUACACCUUGUCUUUGAGUAACCUCAUUUACAAAUACAAAUUAAUUACCGUCUACAUGCUUAUGACUUGCAGAUCUGCCUGUCUACCCCAGACCUCUUUCCUUCUGUCCAGACUAAGAUCUCAGACUGUCUCUAAUAAUCUUCUGUUGGAUGACUGACUGUCAUCUGAAACUAAAAUGGAUGGCUAGAAAUGAGUCUCUGACUGUUUGUUUCUUUCUACCUCCUUUCUUGAUCAUUGUGGACAACACUACCAUCCUACUGGGCACUUGGACCUUUUACCUCUUCUGUCUUUCAC